rnacentral:lncRNA from 1 species
GGUAUCAGAGCCACCCUGGGUCAGAAAAAUUGUGCGGAGCUAGUGGGCCUGCGAGGAAAGGGCUACCCGUGAGAGACGAGACGAGGUGGAGCCGCCCAAGGUACUAGCGAACCACAAUACCCAAGGGUCCGGUCCUAGUUAGCAAUUGUAUUGGAUUCAGUUGCGACGAGGACGUCGCAAAAUUUAGCGGGACCGAGUGUAACAGUCAGCUGCCUGCUUGCGGAAUUGCGGCAGUUGAUCAUCCCACAUCGG